rnacentral:rRNA from 1 species
AGGCGACGAUCCCUAGCUGGUCUGAGAGGAUGACCAGCCACACUGGAACUGAGACACGGUCCAGACUCCUACGGGAGGCAGCAGUGGGGAAUAUUGCACAAUGGGCGCAAGCCUGAUGCAGCCAUGCCGCGUGUAUGAAGAAGGCCUUCGGGUUGUAAAGUACUUUCAGCGGGGAGGAAGGGAGUAAAGUUAAUACCUUUGCUCAUUGACGUUACCCGCAGAAGAAGCACCGGCUAACUCCGUGCCAGCAGCCGCGGUAAUACGGAGGGUGCAAGCGUUAAUCGGAAUUACUGGGCGUAAAGCGCACGCAGGCGGUUUGUUAAGUCAGAUGUGAAAUCCCCGGGCUCAACCUGGGAACUGCAUCUGAUACUGGCAAGCUUGAGUCUCGUAGAGGGGGGUAGAAUUCCAGGUGUAGCGGUGAAAUGCGUAGAGAUCUGGAGGAAUA